CCUACGGGAGGCAGCAGUAGGGAAUAUUGCUCAAUGGGGGAAACCCUGAAGCAGCAACGCCGCGUGGGGGAUGAAGGCUUUCGGAUUGUAAACCCCUUUUGUUAGGGAAGAUAAUGACGGUAUCUAACGAAUAAGCACCGGCUAACUCCGUGCCAGCAGCCGCGGUAAUACGGAGGGUGCAAGUGUUAUUCGGAAUCACUGGGCGUAAAGGGCGCGUAGGCGGGAUAGCAAGUCAGAUGUGAAAUCCUAGGGCUUAACCAUAGAACUGCAUUUGAAACUGUAAUUCUAGAGUAUGGGAGAGGUAGGUGGAAUUCUUGGUGUAGGGGUAAAAUCCGUAGAGAUCAAGAGGAAUACUCAUUGCGAAGGCGGCCUGCUAGAACGUAACUGACGCUGAUGCGCGAAAGCGUGGGGAGCAAACAGGAUUAGAUACCCGUGUAGUC
rnacentral:rRNA from 1 species